rnacentral:lncRNA from 1 species
AUGCCUUUCAGGCCUACUUUGCAAACUAUGCUGAUAAAGAUAAGGCUGCGAACUUGCCCACAUAACAUGGCCUGCCAAUCAGUCUCACAGUGUAAUUUAAUUCUAAUAUACCUCCUGAUCUUUGGUGCAUUUAAAAAUAACUUGUUAAUAGUCUUCCUAUUCUAAUUUAGCUAAAAUUGCACACACUGAAAUGCUUGCUCUUUUGCAUGCUCUCUCUCUCUUUCUUUCUCUCUCUCUCUCUCUCUACACACACACACACACACACACAAAAUGAUCCUUAAAAAUCAUUUCUGUAUGGCACCUAUGCAGCACAGUGCUUCUGAAAUUGUCUCCAAGUUCUUCCCUUAACCUGUUCCCAUAAUGGAAAACCACAGAACACAACAACUGUAGCCCUGGAAUCUUAGGGUCAUCAAAAUAUUCAUAAUGAAGUCUAAAUAUUGAUAACAAAGUGAAUAAAAUAGAAACUCCUGGAGCUAGAUGCCAUUAGUUCAGAUCCCAGUUCUGCCGCUUAUUGUGUAACUUUGGGCAAAUCUCCCAACUAUUUCCAUUUCUUGGUUCCUUAAUGUAUACAAUGCUGACCAUGAUAGGCCCUACCUAGAGAUGUUGUGAGAACUAAACAAGAUGCCUUUUUAAAAGUGGUUAGAACAAAAGCAUUAGUUGUUAUUAUUAUUAUUAUUAUUAUUAUUAUUAUUAUUACAUUCCUUAAAAUGAAGUUGUGCUGAUGGAAUAUUUGAAGGAUGUAUUUUUCCCCAAAUCUUGGAGUUAAAUCAACUUCUUUGAGGGGGCUAUUUAAUGCAGGUAAGUAGCAUGGCUGAGAGGUAAACAAGGGGCCUGUGAGACAGGAAGCCUUAGCUAUUAGUCUGGCUCCACCGCCCUGCUCAACAGAGGUUUGGCCCAUCUGAAAAAUC